AGAGUUUGAUCAUGGCUCAGAACGAACGCUGGCGGCAGGCCUAACACAUGCAAGUCGAGCGAACCCUUCGGGGUUAGCGGCGGACGGGUGAGUAACGCGUGGGAACGUGCCCUUCUCUGCGGAAUAGGCUCGGGAAACUGGGUUUAAUACCGCAUACGCCCUUCGGGGGAAAGAUUUAUCGGAGAAGGAUCGGCCCGCGUUAGAUUAGGUAGUUGGUGGGGUAAUGGCCUACCAAGCCUACGAUCUAUAGCUGGUUUGAGAGGAUGAUCAGCCACACUGGGACUGAGACACGGCCCAGACUCCUACGGGAGGCAGCAGUGAGGAAUCUUGGACAAUGGGGGAAACCCUGAUCCAGCCAUGCCGCGUGAGCGAUGAAGGCCUUAGGGUUGUAAAGCUCUUUCAGUCGUGAAGAUAAUGACGGUAGCGACAGAAGAAGCCCCGGCUAACUCCGUGCCAGCAGCCGCGGUAAUACGGAGGGGGCUAGCGUUGUUCGGAAUUACUGGGCGUAAAGCGCGCGUAGGCGGACUAUUAAGUCAGGGGUGAAAUCCCGGGGCUCAACCCCGGAACUGCCUCUGAUACUGGUAGUCUUGAGUUCGAGAGAGGUGAGUGGAACUCCGAGUGUAGAGGUGAAAUUCGUAGAUAUUCGGAAGAACACCAGUGGCGAAGGCGGCUCACUGGCUCGAUACUGACGCUGAGGUGC
rnacentral:rRNA from 1 species